AAACAUUCAAUAUAGUAUGAAUACGGAAGAAAAAUUCGUGUACCGUAAAUUUACAUAUAAAAGUCCGUUUAUGCGAAGAGGUGUGGAGCUAAUAUUGAAGGAGCAAGGGUACAACUGCACACACGAAAAUAUGUAUUCAAGAAGGUGAGAAUGGAAUUACUAUUAUACGACUAAUAAACAAAGUUUUCUAUUCCUUUAAACUUCUAAAUCUUGGAAAAUG